UCCGAAGGGGGCUAUCGUUGUUCGGAUUUACUGGGCUUAAAGGGCACGUAGGCGGAUUUUUAAGUCAGGGGUGAAAUCCCACGGCUCAACCUUGGAACUGCCUUUGAUACUGGAAGUCUCGAGUCCGGGAGAGGUGAGUGGAACUGGGAGUGUAGAGGUGAAAUUCGUAGAUAUUCGCAAGAACACCAGUUGCGAAGGCGGCUCACUGGCCCGGAACUGACGCUGAGGUGCGAAAGCGUGGGGAGCAAACAGG
rnacentral:rRNA from 1 species